CUGCAGCACCUGGGGAGCUGCUCAGGGAGGAGGGACAAGUGAAAGGGACCUGGGACCAAAGGAGACAUCAGCAGAGCAAGAAACAUUUCCCAAGCUCUACCUGGUGUCAGGUGAACUCCAACAGGAGAUCAGGUACUGGAAGGCACUGGGAGCUACUGGGACUAUGUUGGGAGCCAACUGAAGACACACAUGGAGCAAAUGGAAGAUGCUGGAACCAUGUUGGGGGUACUGGGACCACAACUGGGACGACUGGAACCAUGCUGGGUUCAUACUCCCCGCCGGACGCCUGAACUCACCCUGACCCCGCGGUGGGCUCGGUCUCGCCAUGCCCCGGCC